AUUGAACGCUGGCGGAAUGCUUUACACAUGCAAGUCGAACGGCAGCACGGACUUCGGUCUGGUGGCGAGUGGCGAACGGGUGAGUAAUGUAUCGGAACGUGCCCAGUCGUGGGGGAUAACGUAGUGAAAAUUACGCUAAUACCGCAUACGAUCUAUGGAUGAAAGCGGGGGAUCGCAAGACCUCGCGCGAUUGGAGCGGCCGAUAUCAGAUUAGGAAGUUGGUGGGGUAAAGGCCCACCAAGCCAACGAUCUGUAGCUGGUCUGAGAGGACGACAAGCCACACUGGAACUGAGACACGGUCCAGACUCCUACGGGAGGCAGCAGUGGGGAAUUUUGGACAAUGGGCGAAAGCCUGAUCCAGCCAUUCCGCGUGCAGGAUGAAGGCCCUCGGGUUGUAAACUGCUUUUGUACAGAACGAAAAGGUUUCUACUAAUACUAGGAGCUCAUGACGGUACUGUAAGAAUAAGCACCGGCUAACUACGUGCCAGCAGCCGCAGUAA
rnacentral:rRNA from 1 species